CCCAGACUCCUACGGGAGGCAGCAGUGGGGGAUAUUGCACAAUGGGGGGAACCCUGAUGCAGCGACGCCGCGUGGGUGAAGGAGCGUUUCGGCGCGUAAAGCCCUCUCGGCAGGGAAGAAGGAGGACGGUACCUGACUAAGAAGCCCCGGCUAACUACGUGCCAGCAGCCGCGGUAAUACGUAGGGGGCAAGCGUUAUCCGGAUUUACUGGGUGUAAAGGGGGCGCAGACGGCAGCGCAAGCCAGGAGUGAAAGCCCGGGGCCCAACCCCGGGACUGCUCUUGGAACUGCGCGGCUGGAGUGCAGGAGGGGCAGGCGGAAUUCCUGGUGUAGCGGUGAAAUGCGUAGAUAUCAGGAGGAACACCGGUGGCGAAGGCGGCCUGCUGGACUGCAACUGACGUUGAGGCCCGAAAGCGUGGGGAGCAAACAGGAUUAGAUACCCGCGUAGA
rnacentral:rRNA from 1 species